GCAGGGGUAGGGGACAGGUCCAGGCUAACUAUUUUCUGAAUCCCAGUUUCAUCCCAGCUUACCCAUCUGUCCUCAUGGAGAAACACUUCAUUUUAGGACUGGGAGGACUUUGAGUACAUUCCAGACCCAGACGCCAAGAAGCCAGAUGACUGGAACAAGGUGAUGGAUGGAGAAGGGGAAGGACCCUGAUACCAAACCUGAAGUGUAAGGGACAAUGGAAACCUCGAAUCAUGGACAAUCCCAAUUACCAGGGGGAGUGGAUUUAUCCAGAAAUGGACAACCCUGAAUAUAAGCCUGACCCUACCAUUUGUCGCUAUUAUAACAUUAGAGUUCUCAGCCUGGACCUUUGGCAGGUGAAGUCAGGCAGCAUCUUUGAAAAUUUCCUUCUUACAAAUGAUGAAGAGUUUGCUGAAGAGGUUGGAAAUAAGACCUGGAGAAUAAAAAGAAGUAAGAUAUCUCCCCACCCUGAAUUCCAGGUGUCUGACUCCUCAUUUGUACAAUGUUUUCAUUUGAAAAAUCAGCCUCACAGUCAUUGUCUUAUUUGCUGACCACAUGGCCCUGUGAAGUGGGGAAAGGGACUCACAUUCAUUGGACAGCUACAGCUUUGUACUUACCUCUGUGAGCACUUUCCAAAAGUUAUCCCACUUAGCCCUUAAAACAACCCAGCAAGACAGAUAUUAUUCCCAUUUUUCACAUGUAGGAACAGAGCUUCAGAGAGUAUAUAUAAACUGCCUGAGGUCACACACAGCUUUUAACUUGUUGCUUUCAAACUCACUCUCCUUCUGCGUCCCUCUCCCUACUCACAGUGUGGUAAAUUAGAAGGGAGCCACUGAACCCAUGUCUGAUGGAUGACUUGGAGAAAGAAGGGAGUUGUUUGUGGUGUCUACCAGCUUUCUGCCCUCCUAGAACUAUUUUAUGGGUGGAGUGACAUUUGGGACAAUGACUCCAUGAUGGUGACACCCUCCAUCCUGACUUCCUGGUUCUGCAGGAAGGUCCAUUCAAACAGGUUUUGACCAGCACUGGAUUACCCAAUGGGCAGACUAAGCUCAUGCUUAGAGUGCCAGGAAAGCACAGGCACACACACACAAAACUUUUGAGAGAACUUUGAUACUUAAUACUUUGAAAGAAACAUUGAAGACUCACCAUGGGGAAAAAUUAUUAGACUUUUGUAUACUUUUUAGUCUGGUUUUGUUUUACUUUUACUUU